rnacentral:lncRNA from 1 species
UAGAGUUGUGUCUGAAGGAGUCCCUGUGUAUGGGAGUCUCCAGUAAGCUCCUACUAGAUGUGACGGGAGCUCAAGUUUCAGACCUGGACUUCAGCUUCAGCCUGAACGACAGAGUUCAGAGCAGUUGUUCAGAUUCAUCUUCUGUGGGCAGCAUGAAAGAGAGCGACUCACCCGCGUCUGUGAGAGAUUCAAAGAGAAACGGCGAGCAAACAGGUCACACUCAGGUGAGUCACACACACACAUACACACACACACUCGCUCGCACAAACACACACACACACACAUACACACACACACACACACACACACACACACACGCGCGCACAAACACACACACACACACACACGCACACACGCUCGCACACACACACACACACACACACACACACUCACACGUACACACACACAUUCGCUCACACACACACACACACACAAACAAACACACACUCGCUCGCACAAUCACACACACACUCACACACAAACACACGCACAAACACACACACACACACACACACCAC